GGCUUACGGUGGAUACCUAGGCACACAGAG
rnacentral:rRNA from 1 species